rnacentral:rRNA from 1 species
UUCCAGACUCCUACGGGAGGCAGCAGUGGGGAAUAUUGCACAAUGGGGGAAACCCUGAUGCAGCGACGCCGCGUGAGCGAUGAAGUAUUUCGGUAUGUAAAGCUCUAUCAGCAGGGAAGAAGAUGACGGUACCUGACUAAGAAGCCCCGGCUAACUACGUGCCAGCAGCCGCGGUAAUACGUAGGGGGCAAGCGUUAUCCGGAUUUACUGGGUGUAAAGGGAGCGUAGACGGCGAUGCAAGCCAGAUGUGAAAGCCCGGGGCGCAACCCCGGGACUGCAUUUGGAACUGUGUGGCUGGAGUGUCGGAGAGGCAGGCGGAAUUCCUAGUGUAGCGGUGAAAUGCGUAGAUAUUAGGAGGAACACCAGUGGCGAAGGCGGCCUGCUGGACGAUGACUGACGUUGAGGCUCGAAAGCGUGGGGAGCAAACAGGAUUAGAUACCCGCGUAGAA